UACGUAGGUGGCGAGCGUUGUCCGGAAUGACUGGGCGUAAAGGGAGCGUAGGUUGCGAUUUAAGUUAGGUGUGAAAGCCCGUAGCUCAACUACGGAACUGCACUUAAAACUGGAUUGCUAGAGUACAGGAGGGGUAAGCGGAAUUCCUAGUGUAGCGGUAAAAUGCAUAGAUAUUAGGAAGAACACCGGAGGCGAAGGCGGCUCACUGGACUGGUAUUGACGCUGAGGUGCGAAAGCGUGGGGAGCAAACAGG
rnacentral:rRNA from 1 species